UACGAAGGGUGCAAGCGUUACUCGGAAUUACUGGGCGUAAAGGGUGCGUAGGCGGUUGUUUAAGUCUGUCGUGAAAUCCCCGGGCUCAACCUGGGAAUGGCGAUGGAUACUGGACAGCUAGAGUGUGUCAGAGGAUGGUGGAAUUUCCGGUGUAGCGGUGAAAUGCGUAGAGAUCGGAAGGAACAUCAGUGGCGAAGGCGGCCAUCUGGGACAACACUGACGCUGAAGCACGAAAGCGUGGGGAGCAAACGGG
rnacentral:rRNA from 1 species